CCUACGGGGGGCUGCAGUAGGGAAUCUUCCACAAUGGACGAAAGUCUGAUGGAGCCACGCCGCGUGAGUGAAGAAGGGUCUCGGCUCGUAAAGCUCUGUUGGUAGUGAAGAAAGAUAGAGGUAGUAACUGGCCUUUAUUUGACGGUAAUUACUUAGAAAGUCACGGCUAACUACGUGCCAGCCGCCGCGGUAAUACGUAGGGGGCACGCGUUGUCCGGAUUUAAUGGGCGUAAAGCGAGUGCAGGCGGUUUAAUAAGUGUGAUGUGAAAGCCUUCGGCUCAACCGGGGAAUUGCAUCAGAAACUGUUGAACUUGAGUGCAGAAGAGGAGAGUGGAACUCAUGGUGUAGCGGUGGAAUGCGUAGAUAUAUGGAAGAACUCCAGUGGCGAAGGCGGCUCUCUGGUCUGCAACUGACGCUGAGGCUCGAAAGCAUGGGUAGCGAACAGGAUUAGAUACCCGUGUAGUC
rnacentral:rRNA from 1 species